rnacentral:lncRNA from 1 species
GAGAGAAAUCAUCCCAUCUGUCUAACAUUUCAGUUGAGUUUUCUGAAUCUUCCGGAGUCCUUGUUCGGUAAUUUAAGCCUAGUUUACGCAGACGUGAAAGAUAGAUCAAAUUGGGAUUUGAACUUUUGGAGUUAUGGACAGAAAAAUCUACUUUGCUGCCUGGAACAACUAACAGUCAUAGGAAUGCAAAAGAUGAGACAGCUUACUGGUGUGAUUGGGUCGAAACUCGAAAGAAAGAGGAAUUUCAUCAGUUGAACACUGAUAAAAUCAUUCAAUGCUUCUCUAGCUGGUCUGCCAAGUCUUACAGCUAGAUUUCUAGACAUAGGCUACUUGUUCAGAAGAUGGGAAGGAACAGGGACCAGAUUUCUGCGUAUUUUGUCUUACAAAACUCUGAUAGUUCUGGAGAUACCCAUAUCGUUGCCUUACAUGCAUGGAGCUAGGAAAAUUAUGAUAAUAACCCCUGAAAUCAUCCAAGAUAUUGGGUGGACUAAUCUGGUUGUCGAACUGAAGCACCCUACAAGGUGGUAUUAUUGUGUUAGACAGAUGCGCAUGAGGUGUUUCUGACUCCACAGAACUUGCAACAGAGAGGUCUGUCCUAUGCCAUAAGUGCUACAUUUGUGAAAGAGAGACAGAGAUUGCAAAUCAUCUCUUCCUACACUGCUCUUUGUGGUGUCACAAUAACAGCAUAUGCUCUUCAACAUCUUUGUGGUGAAAUGAGUUGUUCCAAGGACAUUCAAGGAACCCUAUUUUGUUGGACAAACAUAGGAUAUGUAACGACCCAACCGGUCGUUUUGAGCUCUAGCAUGUCAUUAAGCAGUAUGAGACCAUGAACAACUUCAUUUCAGGUAUUAUGACUUCUAUGCAUGGUCCGAAUUAAGUUUCGGGAAGUUCAGAGUUGAUUUGGAAAGAGAAUUCUCAUUUCGGAAGCUUAAAGUUGAAAGAAUUAACUAGGAUUGGAAUUUUGAGUAAACGACAUUGGAAUUGAGAUCUGAAGGUUACAGCAGGUUCGUAUGAUGAUUUCGGACUUGGGCGUAUGCCCGGAUCGGGUUUUGAACGACCCCAGAGCGUUUUGGUGCCUAUUGUGGAAAGUUAGCAUUUUGGAAGAAAUUUCAUAAGUUUGGCUCGAAGUGCAUUUCCAUGUUAUCGAUGUCCUUUAGGGAUUCUGUGGCUGGUAGUAGCUCCGUACGGUGAUUCUGGAGUUGGGAGCGGAAUUGGAAGUGAAUUCGGAGGUUCGCAUGCCAUUUUGGAGUCAUUUCGCUAAAGAUAGAAAUUUCAAGGUUUUGAGAACUUUGACCGGAAGUGGACUUUUUGAUAUCGGGGUCGGAAUUCUAUUUCGGAAGUUGGAGUAGGUCCGUUAUGUUAAAUAUGACUUGUGUGCAAAAUUUGAGGUCAAUCGGACGUGAUUUGAUAGGUUUAAACAUCGANNNNNNNNNNNNNNNNNNNNNNNNNNNNNNNNNNNNNNNNNNNNNNNNNNNNNNNNNNNNNNNNNNNNNNNNNNNNNNNNNNNNNNNNNNNNNNNNNNNNNNNNNNNNNNNNNNNNAAAUUCUAAAGUUCAUAAAGCUUGAAUUGGAGGUUGAUUCAUGAUUUUAGCAUUGUUUGGUAUGAUUUGAGGCCUCGAGCAAGUCCGUAAUGUGUUAUAGAGCUGGUUGGUACGAUUGGUUGGGGUCCGGAGGGCCUUGGGUGGAUUCCGGAUGAUUAACGGAUCGAAUUUGGGUUGAAGGCUACUGCUGUUUUGCUGAUUUCGGUUUCCUUCUUCGCGAACGUGAAUGGAGUCUCGCGUUCGCGAAGAGGAGGAUGAGAGGCUGCUGGUUUUAGCCUUCGCGAACGCGAGGUGGAGGUCGCGAACGUGAAGGAGUCGAGUUGGUUACUACGUAACGCGAGGAGGAUAUCGCGAACGCGUAGGAGGAAAAACUGAGCCUGAGUCAUUUGCCUACGAGAACGCGAGGCCUGGAACACAAACGCGUAGGUUUCGAGGAGCUGGCCUUCGCGAACGCGAUCGUAGGGCCGCUAACGCGAUGAAGAGAUUUUGGGGCUGAAGCAGGUUGUGCUUCGCGAACGCGAGGGUUUUUCCGCGUUCACGAAGAAGGGCAGUGCUGGGCAGUGACUUGUUUUAAGACGGGAUUUGGCUUAUUUCUUUCAUUUUUUUCUCUUGGCUUGGGCGAUUCCUGGAGGAUUUUAAGAGGGGGUUUGACCACUCAAUGGCAAGGUAAGUUAUACCCACUUAGUAGAAGUUAAAUACAUCGAUUAUAUAUGGAUUUUAACAUGAAAAUUAGGGAAAAUUUGGGGUUUUGAGGAAGACCUAGAAAUUUGAUAUUCUUGAGUUUUGACCAUGAUUUUAGAGAUGAAAUUAAGAGAAAACCAUAUAUUUGAGUUCGUGAGUUUAUGGGUAAAUUUUAUCUCCGAAAAAUUUUGGAUUCCGGGCACGUGGGCCCGAGGGUGUUUUUUGUCAAUUUUUCGUUUGGGGUUAGGAAUUGUUAUAAAUUGGAUUAUAAUGAAUAUUUGAGCCUAUAUUAAUGGAUUUGCAUAAUCAUUGGCUAGCUUUGGAGCAUUUUGCAUCAAUUAGUCUUCGGAAGGGCAUGGAAUGCCGGUUAUGGAUCUUCGGAGCGAGGUGAGUCUCCUUUCUAACCUUGUAAGAGGGAAUUGUCCCCAUAGGUGACUUAAUUGGUAAUGUGCUCCUAUUUAUGGGGGCUACGUAUGCACGAGGUGACGAGAGUCCAUGCGUAGCUACUAUUAUGCUAUUUUUCAGUUAGUCUAGGACUGUGAAUUAAUUGGUUAUAUGCUCCUAUUUGUGUGGGCUACGUACGUACGAGGUGACGAGAGUCCGUGCGUAGCUACUAUUAUGUUUAAGUCCGGGUAGUCUAGGACCCAAAAGCAUGCUAUACUUGGAAUUUGUAAUCUUAUCGAUAGCUCUAAUUGCUUAAACCACAUCGAAUUACUAAAUGCAUUCACAAAAAGAUUUGACCUCUUUUCUUAAAUCGUUAAAAGAGAAAGUGGAUUUUAUUUGAAUAAUUAUUCCCCGAUAAAUUCUUAAUUUGCUAUUUGAGCAUGUAUUUUAUGUGUAGUUGCAUCGCAUGUAUGAUUCGCGAGUAGGGUGACUAUUUAUUUUAUGUGCACUUGUGUCAUAUGUAUGGUUCACGAGCAAGGUGAUUGUUUGUUUUAUGUUGACCGUGUUGCAUGAAUAGUUCGCGAGCGGGAUAAUAGAUGCAUCUAUGGUUCGAGCCGUUCGACCCUCAGCAGUGCACAGUUUACUUUUAUCUUAUUUUAUGUUGACCGCAUCGCAUGGAUAGUUUGCGAGCGGGGUAAUAGAUGCAUCUAUGGUUCGAGCCGUUCAACUCUCGGCAGUGCACAAUUUACUUUUAUGUUAGAUUGAGCCUUACGUCCCAUGAUGGUUAUUUGCGCAUGCUGGUAUUAUUGCCUUGAACUUAUUAAAGUUGUUAUUGCCUCUUCAUGGCUUGAAAGUAUUUGGAUAAAUAACGGAAAAAAAUAUUUUCGGAAAUAUCCUAUAAACGAAUUAAUUAUUUACUCAUUUCCUUCUAUUGGAUUAAAAUCAUGCUCAUAGAAAUCCACGAUUUAACGUAUUAUGGACAUCAUUAUUGGACCACCAUUAAGUGUCAAAGUCGACCAUCUCGUCUCUACCUCUUCUAGAUUAGAUGGGAUACUCAUUGAGUACAUGUUGUUUUCGUACUCAUGCUACAUUUGUGUCCAUUUUUGUUGAUGUCGAAGUCGACCAUCUCGUGUCUAUUUCUUCGAGAUUAGACGGGAUACUCAUUGAGUACAUGUUGUUUUCGUACUCAUACUACACUUGUAUGCAUUUUUGUUUGCACAGGUUUAUGCAUGCUAGAGAUUUAUUGGCAUAGCGUCAUGGUUGUCACGGAGACUAGGUGAGCUGUAUUUCUUCGAGGUGACCUGCAGUUAGUCUCUCUAAGGAUCCUACUUACUUUUCUGUCCAAUUGUAUUUCGGACAACUGUUGUACUUUAUUCUUUUUUUUUUAUUUUAUUCUUAGAAAUUGCUCAUGCACUUGUGACACCAGGUUUUGGGAUAUAUUCGGGUUUAUUCAGAAAUUUUAAAAGCUGUUUAAAUACUUCAUUAUUCAUUCCGAGAAAUAUACUGAGUACUGUUUUAAUUGUAUAAAAGAAGUGUUUCCAAAAUUAUUAAAACAAGAAUUUAAUUAAGUAUUUCAGUUGGCUUGCCUGACAGCGGUGUCCGGCGCCACCACGUUCCUUAGUAGAUUCUGGGUCGUGACAAUAUGGUAUCAGAGCUCUAGGUUCCCCUAGGUCUCACAAGUCAUGAGCAAGUCUAGUAGAGUCUCACGGAUCGAUACAGAGACAUCUGUUCUUAUAUUCGGGAGGCUACAAGACUGUUAGAAGUACUUUCCUUCUUGAUUCCUUAUCGUGCGAUUUGAUUCCUGUGAAGCUUAUGCCUUUGUUUCCUUCCUACUCAAUCUUAUGCGACGCGAAGCACUUGUUAUAAAUCGAGAAUUGAAGAAUUGUAAUAGCACUACGAAUGUGGUGCGGGCAUUUUUCCUUAAGGGGUUAUUUGAGCUGUUAUCCUCGCCUUGUGGAAGGAUAUUCUAUUGUUUUGGCUCAGUAGCAGUACUUCUGAGAGCCUUGAGGCUAGGCACAGGUUGCCUGCUUAUGAGCGAUUAUUCCGCAAUAUUGUUAUGAUGGUAGGAUUUUUGCCUGCGUGUUGAGGCAGUGAAUGACUUGAAAGGAGGUUUACUCAGUGCAUGAUCUAGAGAUUCGGUAUUUUGUUCCUGGCAGGGGAAAGGCAAUCAGGCUGAGAAUGUUCAGGUUUGGGUUGAUGGGGGAACGAGACUUUUUAUUUUCAAGUAUGGUGGAGUUUUCAUCUGUGACAUGGUAUCGUCGUCCUCGAUUGAAUAUGUUAAGUUGCUGGUGUUGCGGUUUUCUACGAUUUCCUUCGGAGCAGGAUAUUGCGGGUCAGUGUUGAAGAAGCGACGGUCAGAGACCGUGGGGUGCAGUGGUUCAGGAUGGCUUCGGUGUUCCUAGUGUUGAUGACUUGAGAAAGAUGAUCUUUCGAAAGGUUAAAGUUAGUAGCAAUCGUGGGUUCAAGUGCCACACAGAUAGAUUUUAUUUAAGGCAACAAAUGAGCAGCAAAGGAUGAGGAAAGACAUGUGAGAAGUGUCAAGCAGUGGCUAAAAUUUCUAGAAGGCCAAGUAUAAGAAGCAAAAGUCGAGUAGUCGAUUAAAGGGAUGAGCUCCGCUAAAGUGGGAGAGUGGAGUUACAUAUGGGAAUUGUGGGAGGGUGACUGCACCUUAAGGAGAGUCCGAAACGACUUGGGGAUUUAGUGAUUAGUGAUUGGAGUCUAUGAGUUUAAUUUGAGGUAUGGGCCAUUAUGCGGCAGGAGACUUGGUAUAACGGAAAUGAGCUGCUUGAAAUAAAGAAGGAUACAACAUAACUUGAACGGGAAGGAUGUUGCCGCACACUUAAUGAAUGCCCACGUGGGGUGAAAGGACUUAUGCAGCUAGAGGGUUAGUUCGGACUCAAGAUGGAUUGUUGAUUUCAUGGUGAUUGUACUCUGUGCAGCAGCUUUAGAAGAUGUCGAAAAGUUAUUUCCAUGGGUGGGUUAUUCCGUGUGAGUAGGUUAGCGGUCGCGUGGUUAACGAAUCUUCCGUGAAGAAUUCUAUUGGUUAUACAACAAAAAGAUCGGUUGUGCAAAUGUCUUAGAUGAUACAGAAGGUAAAUAUAGGGUUUACAAAAAGAUUUUGAAAAUUUUGGCGGUCGAAUGUGCAUGGUUGCCUCAAUAAGAGAUCAAGAAUCCUGGUAAAUUCCAGAGUUGUGUAAUAGUGGCUUCAAGCUAAGUGGGAGGGUCCCACCUUCUAUGAUUGGGUUGCAUGGUUAACUACUUGCGAAGUUUUUGGUGAUUAGCAUAUUGAUGGGUUAUUUCAGCAACCGGAAAAGAACAUUAGUGGUAAUUUGAGCAAUGGAAUUAUUAAAGGCUUGCUAUCAUUGGCCUUAUUGGCCCAUGUUCAGAGUUGGGGAGUGAUUCUGUCGGGUGCUCUGUCGAGAGGGUAUGCUUGUGCUAGAAGAAUCAUGGAGUUGAUUAUAUUCGGGCCAAGUCAGAGCGGGCGGCUCUCAGCAACUGUCCUAAUAGAUUCAAAGGGAUAAGGCGUGCUCCUAACGAUUUCAAGCCUAUAAGUACAAUUUAGAAUCAAGCUUUGUAGCAGCUUAUGAGAAGGUGCCCAGAAUGUUCUAUGAUAUUUUGACUGGCGGUGUAGCAUUUGUGAGAUAUGAAAUGGUUCCUGGGAUUCAGGACAGCAUGGUCUCGUGAUUCAAGAUCACUUAGGAUGAGUGCGGAUGGAGUAUGUUAUGUGUUGAAUGGAGCUAGUAUUAUUUCUAAGGCAAUCAAGGAUAAAUUGGAAGAAAGUAGAUUGAUUAGCUAUAGUUGAAUUGGCAUAUUGGUGUCAGUGAUCAGUUCCUUCAGCGUGAUCAAGUUAUGCAAGUGAUUCAUGACGGUACGUGUGAGGCCAGUCGGCCGCCGUAAUUGAUUUUAUUCAGAAGCAUAUUUCUGUUAUGGCCUGUUAUGUGUAGGCGGAUCCCGGGAGGGCUGUGGUGGCUUGGACCACUACUUUGAGAUUUACAUGUUCUACGGCUAUGAGGAUUCACCUGUGUGUUGCUAUGGUUCUCCUGAAGUGACAACAACAACAACACCAACAACUACCUAGUAAUGUCCCACAAAGUGGGGUCUGGGAGAGUAAUAUGUAGACGAGCCUUACCCCUACCCGAAAGGGUAGAGAGGCAGUUUCCAAUCGACCCUCGGCUCAGUGAAGGAGGGGAAAAACAAAAACAAAAACAAAAACAAAAACAAAAACAAAAACAAAAACAAAAACAAAAACGCAUUAGUAAGUCCAGCAGAAAUAGCAUAAAUAAUUUUCUAAACAUAAGAACCAUAAAUAAAAUAGCAUGCAAUAAUAUCAGCCAAUAACUACCAUAAGGGAGACACAAUCCAAUACACAAAUCAUCUAUGGAUAGCUCUGCCAAGCAAUGAAGUGUUGACCUAUUAGUAGUUCCGGAGUUGUGAUGAAAGUCGUGUUCUAUCGCGUAUUGGCGUGAUGGGUGCAGUAAGUGGUAUGGAAAUUGAAGUAAGGACCAAGGUUGCAGUUCGGUGUUGACAAGGAUGUCACGAGCUCGGAUGAGCAAGAAGGGAGUUUCAAUGUUUAAAUUAAGUUGGUAAUGUCCUU